AUUGAACGCUGGCGGCAGGCCUAACACAUGCAAGUCGAGCGGAUGAAGGGAGCUUGCUCCUGGAUUCAGCGGCGGACGGGUGAGUAAUGCCUAGGAAUCUGCCUGGUAGUGGGGGAUAACGUCCGGAAACGGGCGCUAAUACCGCAUACGUCCUGAGGGAGAAAGUGGGGGAUCUUCGGACCUCACGCUAUCAGAUGAGCCUAGGUCGGAUUAGCUAGUUGGUGGGGUAAAGGCCUACCAAGGCGGCGAUCCGUAACUGGUCUGAGAGGAUGAUCAGUCACACUGGAACUGAGACACGGUCCAGACUCCUACGGGAGGCAGCAGUGGGGAAUAUUGGACAUAGGGCGAAAGCCUGAUCCAGCCAUGCCGCGUGUGUGCAGAAGGUCUUCGGAUUGUAAAGCACUUUAAGUUGGGAGGAAGGGCAGUAAGUUAAUACCUUGCUGUUUUGAAAUUACCAACAGAAGAAGCACGGGCUAACUUCGUG
rnacentral:rRNA from 1 species